AACGACUUCGGGUGACCACCAAGGAAUAGUUGAUGGACAAACGCUGGACAGAGAAAACAGAAUAAUGGACAUCUUGUUCAGACUCCUGCAUGGUGAUGAGGAAGACAAGUAUGUUGUUUGUACACUGGCUGACGCCGCCGAGACGUCUCAGAUCUCCUUAGAAGACAUCAGCACAUCCAAGUAUCAAGACAAACACACCAUCAGACGGCGCUCUAUCGACUGCAGACAAGACGCCCGCUACCGGACAAUGGACGG